UCAAUGGCGACCUUCGACAUCAAGGUUUUCAACGCCUACUUGAAGCUCUGAUCAGUUCAGCCAACAAUGGAGAUUCGAGAGGGUUAUGUGAGACGGAUCUUCAUGACGAAACUCUGGAUCUAGAUGCCUUCGUGUCGUGUCAUGUCGCUUGGGUGCUCCUGGAACCGUUACGAGAUGCAUUGAUUCAUUGCCAUUAACGACAAUCUUAUCUUCUUUGACCCAAUUCAAGCACGAUUCCUCAUUCAAUGCAUCUUUCUUUUCUUUCAGGCAGUGGUUCACCAAUUAUAAAUAGGCUGGAGGUGUUGGUAAGACAUACACAUUCCAACUCAUCGUGACCCACUGCAAAGCGUUAGACCUUCACAGUCUUACGCAUCUUCAACGAGUCCCUGAUAUGGAGACAGCGGUGGUCUUGGAGAUGAUAUGAACACUGGAAGCUCAACUUAAGUUGAAUUUAAAAAUCUUCCGAGUCUGUUGCAACGGAUCUCGAUCAGCUGCAGUCAACGUGUUCAUCCUACGUUAUCAUAUCGUCUGGGUUCUUGAUCAUUCCUUACUGCAGAUUCAUCACCGUCAAAACCGUUUUUACCAAUUUCGCAGCGAGGCGACUUCACCAGAAUGAAUUUGGCUUGGCGGAAGUUGUGUAUAUGAUGAGAAGUGCUGAAUAUCAAGCUACGAAGAGAUGCAACAAUGUACAAUUAGCGGAAGAGACUGUAGCUCACUGCCAAGCCCGUGCUUUGGAGCGUGUACGGAUUUGCAAUCAGAAUACUGCUGAGAUCUUUAUUGAUGAUGAAGACUUAUGAAAAUGAUGGACCAGAUUGAAGCUUUUAGUCAUGACAGAAAGAGAUGGAGGAUACUUUAUGAUGAUG